UGCAUCUGUAGUUCAUGAGGAUGAGAACCUCCGGGGGAAGAGGUUCGACUCGAGCGGAGCGAGAGAACGUUGCGUCAGCAACGGCCCGCAGGGCGAGCCACGUAGUGGCGAGUCAUCCUCUAUCACCGACCA
rnacentral:sRNA from 1 species